AGUGAACGCUGGCGGUAUGCCUAACACAUGCAAGUCGAACGGCAGCACAGUAAGAGCUUGCUCUUACGGGUGGCGAGUGGCGGACGUGUGAGGAAUACAUCGUAAUCUACUUUUUCGUGGGUGAUAACGUAGGGAAACUUACGCUAAUACCGCAUACGACCUACGGGGGAAAUCAGGGGAUCUUCGGACCUUGCGCGAUUGAAGGAGCCGCUGUCGUGUUAGCUAGUUGGCGGGGUAAAGGCCCACAAAGGCGACGAUCCGUAGCUGGUCUGAGAGGAUGAUGAGCCACACUGGAACUGAGACACGGUCCAGACUCCUACGGGAGGAAGAAGUGGGGAAUAUUGGACAAUGGGCGCAAGCCUGCUCCAGACAUACCGGGUGGGUGAAGAAGGCCUUCGGGUUGUAAAGCCCUUUUGUUGGGAAAGAAAAGUAGCAGGUUAAUACCCCGCUGUUCUGACGGUACCCAAAGAAUAAGCACCGGCUAACUUCGUG
rnacentral:rRNA from 1 species